rnacentral:rRNA from 1 species
UCGAGCGAGUCUGCCUUGAAGAUCGGAGUGCUUGCACUCUGUGAAACAAGAUACAGGCUAGCGGCGGACGGGUGAGUAACACGUGGGUAACCUGCCCAAGAGAUCGGGAUAACACCUGGAAACAGAUGCUAAUACCGGAUAACAACAGAUGAUGCCUAUCAACUGUUUAAAAGAUGGUUCUGCUAUCACUCUUGGAUGGACCUGCGGUGCAUUAGCUAGUUGGUAGGGUAACGGCCUACCAAGGCGAUGAUGCAUAGCCGAGUUGAGAGACUGAUCGGCCACAUUGGGACUGAGACACGGCCCAAACUCCUACGGGAGGCAGCAGUAGGGAAUCUUCCACAAUGGACGCAAGUCUGAUGGAGCAACGCCGCGUGAGUGAAGAAGGGUUUCGGCUCGUAAAGCUCUGUUGUUGGUGAAGAAGGACGGGGGUAGUAACUGACCUUUGUUUGACGGUAAUCAAUUAGAAAGUCACGGCUAACUACGUGCCAGCAGCCGCGGUAAUACGUAGGUGGCAAGCGUUGUCCGGAUUUAUUGGGCGUAAAGCGAGUGCAGGCGGUUCGAUAAGUCUGAUGUGAAAGCCUUCGGCUCAACCGGAGAAUUGCAUCAGAAACUGUCGAGCUUGAGUACAGAAGAGGAGAGUGGAACUCCAUGUGUAGCGGUGAAAUGCGUAGAUAUAUGGAAGAACACCGGUGGCGAAGGCGGCUCUCUGGUC